GGGACCUUUCAGUGAAAGGAAAAUUGCGCGGGUGGGUAGUUGGGCGUCGGUUUUCUCUGUGCUAUCCUGUCGCUGCCGCAUUUGAAUUGCUCGAAUUGUGAUGCGGCUGAAUGCUUGAACGCCUCGCAGCAACACGAGAGAUUGCAUCUAAAACAAGCCGCGUCGGGUUGACAAUUUCGAGAUCCAGUGUUUAAGAGAAAAAUGAUGCACAUUCAAGCGCAUUGUCUGGAUGGUGCCAUUCGAGGGAAGGACUAGAAAUUAGAACAAAAAAAAAACAGAGAGAACCUUGUUGCUUAGCAUCUCACCUAUACAGAAGGCAAAAUUAGACCACUUCACGGCUGGUUCAGAUCCAACACUGGUCCAAGACAGCUGAUCGAACCGCUUCUCUG